rnacentral:rRNA from 1 species
AGUGAACGCUGGCGGUAGGCCUAACACAUGCGAGUCGAACGGCAGCACAGUAAGAGCUUGCUCUUACGGGUGGCGAGUGGCGGACGGGUGAGGAAUACAUCGGAAUCUACUUUUUCGUGGGGGAUAACGUAGGGAAACUUACGCUAAUACCGCAUACGACCUACGGGUGAAAGCAGGGGAUCUUCGGACCUUGCGCGAUUGAAUGAGCCGAUGUCGGAUUAGCUAGUUGGCGGGGUAAAGGCCCACCAAGGCGACGAUCCGUAGCUGGUCUGAGAGGAUGAUUAGGCACCAUGGAAAUGAGAAAAGGUCCCGAACCCUAAGGGAGGCCGGCGUGGGGAAUAUUGGAACAUGGGCGCCAGCCUGAUCCAGCCAUACCGCGUGGGUGAAGAAGGCCUUCGGGUUGUAAAGCCCUUUUGUUGGGAAAGAAAAGCAGCAGGUUAAUACCCCGCUGUUCUGACGGUACCCAAAGAAUAAGCACCGGCUAACUUCGUG